CCUACGGGAGGCAGCAGUGAGGAAUAUUGGUCAAUGGGCGCGAGCCUGAACCAGCCAAGUCGCGUGAGGGAUGACGGUCCUACGGAUUGUAAACCUCUUUUGCCGGGGAGCAAGCGUGCGUUCGUGAACACACGUCGAGAGUACCCUGAGAAAAAGCAUCGGCUAACUCCGUGCCAGCAGCCGCGGUAAUACGGAGGAUGCGAGCGUUAUCCGGUUUUAUUGGGUUUAAAGGGUGCGUAGGCGGGAUGCAAAGUCAGCGGUAAAAAUGCGGUGCUCAACGCCGUCGAGCCGUUGAAACUGGCGUUCUUGAGUGGGCGAGAAGUAUGCGGAAUGCGUGGUGUAGCGGUGAAAUGCAUAGAUAUCACGCAGAACUCCGAUUGCGAAGGCAGCUUACUAAACUGCCACUGACAUUGAUGCUCGAAAGUGUGGGUAUCAAACAGGAUUAGAUACCCCUGUAGUC
rnacentral:rRNA from 1 species